GUCCCUGUAGCGCAAUGAAUAGCGGGUAGGACUCCUGAUCCAAAGGCCGUGGGCUCGAAUCCCACCUGGGAUG